GUCUACAGCCAUGCCACCCUGAACAAGCCUAAUGUCUGAUCUCGGAAGCUAAGCAGGGUUGGGCCUGGUUAGUACUUAGAUGGAAGACCAUCUAAGAAGACCAAGUGCUGUAGGCA
rfam:Pteropus alecto contig96243, whole genome shotgun sequence.